rnacentral:tRNA from 1 species
GGGCAAGUGGCGGAACUGGUAUACGCGUACGCUUCAGGAGCGUAUGGACUUCGUCCUUGAGGGUUCGAGUCCCUCCUUGCCCA